AGCCGAGCAUCCUUCCUCUGUGGAGAAUAGAGCUGCUGUUCUAGGACCAAACUUCACUGUGACAAACGACUCCAGUUUUAAACCAUCUCCUAGAGAAGGGCCAUGGCAGAUACCGCCAAUCAAUCAUGGCACUUCUUCCUGCUAAGAUCUUCAGUUCUUUUAUGCUGAGAUCUACAAAAUUAUGAAGACCACCUCUUCCUGUGUCUUAAAGUACGCACUCCACGCCGUCCACACUUGGCGUGUGAUGAAGCAGUGGACGCUGAUGAGAUCUGCCGUCUUCAAACCUGAAGUGCAGCAAUCACUGAGAGCACAAACCAACCCCAAACCAGCAAUGAGCAGAGUCUAAAGUACUUACCAAGCCUUGAGAUGGAUCUGGUAGAGAAAUUUUAUUUUGAAAA